rnacentral:rRNA from 1 species
CCUACGGGUGGCAGCAGUGGGGAAUAUUGGACAAUGGGCGAAAGCCUGAUCCAGCCAUGCCGCGUGUGUGAAGAAGGCCUUCGGGUUGUAAAGCACUUUCAGUGGGGAAGAAAGCCUUGGGGCUAAUACCCUCGAGGAAGGACAUCACCCACAGAAGAAGCACCGGCUAACUCCGUGCCAGCAGCCGCGGUAAUACGGAGGGUGCGAGCGUUAAUCGGAAUUACUGGGCGUAAAGCGCGCGUAGGUGGUCUGAUAAGCCGGUUGUGAAAGCCCCGGGCUCAACCUGGGAACGGCAUCCGGAACUGUCAGGCUAGAGUGCAGGAGAGGAAGGUAGAAUUCCCGGUGUAGCGGUGAAAUGCGUAGAGAUCGGGAGGAAUACCAGUGGCGAAGGCGGCCUUCUGGACUGACACUGACGCUGAGGUGCGAAAGCGUGGGUAGCAAUCAGGAUUAGAUACCCUUGUAGUC